rnacentral:rRNA from 1 species
GACCCGUCUUGAACCACGGAGUCUAGCAUGUGCGCGAGUCAUUGGGACAUAACUAAACCUAAAGGCGCAAUGAAAGUGAAGGUCCGCCUCGCGCGGACCGAGGGAGGAUGGACGGUCCGCGCUUUCGCGCGCGGCCGCCCCGCACUCCCGGGGCGUCUCGUUCUCAUCGCGAGAAGAGGCGCACCAAGAGCGUACACGCUGGGACCCGAAAGAUGGUGAACUAUGCCUGGUCAGGACGAAGUCAGGGGAAACCCUGAUGGAGGUCCGUAGCGAUUCUGACGUGCAAAUCGAUCGUCGGAACUGGGUAUAGGGGCGAAAGACUAAUCGACCAUCUAGUAGCUGGUUCCUUCCGA